rnacentral:tRNA from 1 species
AAUGAAGUGCCUGAUUAAAGGAUUAUUUUGAUAGAAUACCUCAUACUUGUACAAAGUCUUCAUUA